rnacentral:rRNA from 1 species
CCUACGGGAGGCAGCAGUGAGGAAUAUUGGUCAAUGGGCGGAAGCCUGAACCAGCCAAGUAGCGUGCGGGAUGAAGGCCCUACGGGUCGUAAACCGCUUUUGCACGGGGAUAACACCCUCCACUUGUGGAGGUCUGCAGGUACCGUGCGAAUAAGGGCCGGCUAAUUCCGUGCCAGCAGCCGCGGUAAUACGGAAGGCCCGAGCGUUAUCCGGAUUCAUUGGGUUUAAAGGGUGCGCAGGCGGCCUGUUAAGUCAGCGGUAAAAGCCCGGGGCUCAACCCCGGCGAGCCGUUGAAACUGGCGGGCUGGAGUUGGAGAGAAGUACGCGGAAUGCGCGGUGUAGCGGUGAAAUGCUUAGAUAUCGCGCAGAACCCCGAUUGCGAAGGCAGCGUACUGGCUCCACACUGACGCUGAGGCACGAAAGCGUGGGUAUCGAACAGGAUUAGAUACCCUUGUAGUC